rnacentral:rRNA from 1 species
UACGUAGGGUGCGAGCGUUGUCCGGAAUUAUUGGGCGUAAAGAGCUCGUAGGCGGUCUGUCGCGUCGAUCGUGAAAACUUGGGGCUUAACCCUGAGCUUGCGGUCGAUACGGGCAUGACUGGAGUUCGGCAGGGGAGACUGGAAUUCCUGGUGUAGCGGUGAAAUGCGCAGAUAUCAGGAGGAACACCGGUGGCGAAGGCGGGUCUCUGGGCCGAGACUGACGCUGAGGCGCGAAAGCGUGGGGAGCAAACAGG